AUUGAACGCUGGCGGCAGGCUUAACACAUGCAAGUCGAACGAGCGGCGGACGGGUGAGUAAUGUCUGGGAAACUGCCUGAUGGAGGGGGAUAACUACUGGAAACGGUAGCUAAUACCGCAUACCAUCAGAUGUGCCCAGCUGGGAUUAGCUAGUAGGUGGGGGAAUGGCUCACCUAGGCGACGAUCCCUAGCUGGUCUGAGAGGAUGACCAGCCACACGGGAACUGAGACACGGUCCAGACUCCUACGGGAGGCAGCAGUGGGGAAUAUUGCACAAUGGGCGCAAGCCUGAUGCAGCCACGCAGCGUGUAUGAAGAAGGCCUUCGGGUUGUAAAGUACUUUCAGCGAGGAGGCGUUACCCGCAGAAGAAGCACCGGCUAACUCCGUGCCAGCAGCCGCGGUAAUAC
rnacentral:rRNA from 1 species